UAAUUUCACUGGCAGGGGAGAUACCUGAUCAAGAAGGUGGUUCACUCCAGGGCGCAGCUCAGCCAUUGCACUCCGGUUGUAAAAGUGACUUCGCGAAUUCCCCAAAUGUGGGAAUCUCGACCGCACAAUUUCGCUAGUGGGGGACUGGCGUCGCGCUUUCUCCCC